AUGAGAUUUACUGGGCUGUGUCUCUUCACCUUCUUCCAUCACAUCGUAAACAUCCCAUUGAGAGAAAAUGAGGCUACGGUGCACCUGUUGGCUGAGAACUAUGAAACCCUAAACAAUACAAGUGGCUACUUGAUUUCACAACCCCAGCUGGUCUCUCAGAGGGUAACUUCCACUGGUUAUGAGCAGUUUGGAGGAACCAUCUUGGAUGUCUGGCUCAACUGAGGUCGCAAUCACUGACACCCUGCUUUUGCAUGAAUGCACCCCUGGAACAGGCAGCCAGCUGAUCCAUCCAGGGAAUGUGAAGGUAAGCAGUUUCCUUUACUAAAUUGUUGCCGGAUAUAAAGAUGAGUUACGUUUGGUAUAUAAAAAUAUCUCAGUUAAAAACAUUUCAAAAUUGAGCACUGAGAACUGAAAUAAUAUUCGUUUUUCUUACUGUAAGCUCCUCUAGGUAAGGAAAUGGGGGUAUUCAACAUUGAAUGCCCAGUAUCCAGCUGUACUCAAUAGGUGUUUGUUAAUUAAGUGACUGUUCCCUCCCAUGUUAUACUCAACCCUAUUUUCUUAUUCACUGAUAUACUUAUUUGGCUAUUGUUAGCUAUUUUAUGAAUUGGAUUAAUUAUCUUCCCCUGUGAUUGCUGAAGAGCACAGUUCUGAUGAAAAAAUUCCAGCCCAUUUAUUUUUUUAAGUGAUUAGUAACCCUGAUACUCACCUAAGGGUUUAGCCCACACCUGCUUCAUGUCAUGCUGGGACAACUUUGUGCACAAGAGGCAAGUACUGUCAUAUGAGCUAUAUCCUCAGCCCUUAAGUUCAUGUUAAAAAUAGUAAUCAAAGUAUCUCUAGUGAGGAAGGCCAUAGGAAGAAUGCUUACUCUUACAAGAUUCUUAAAGAUUCUGGAUGGAACCAGGGGAAUGAAUGCCUCUGCACGUUAUGAUAUUUUAUGUGACCCACAGUGAACUGAAGGUGGGUUUAUUCUACAAAGAGCAUCCACAAGACAGAAAAUCAACUGUGGAAUGGGAGAAGAAAGGGCUUGCCGAGUCUUAGCAGCAGAGACACCCUGACAGCUCCCAGGCUUGAUUUCCUGUCUUUCGGGUUUUCCUUCUUGCCCUUAGGUUGUAUAAGGUACAACAGUGCACUUAGUUUCUCCUCUCUACCCCGAGGCUGGAGAUAGUAGUUCAUACUGGACUCACUGAAACCAAAGAAUCUUGGCUAGUUAUUAGACUCUCUA
rnacentral:lncRNA from 1 species